rnacentral:tRNA from 1 species
GGGGUUAUAGCUCAGUGGCACAGCACCUGCCUAGCAAGUACAAGGUCCUGAGUUCAAUUCUUAGUAAACCAA